rnacentral:tRNA from 1 species
GGAGAGGUGCCGGAGCGGUUGAACGGGACGGUCUCGAAAACCGUUAAGGGGGCAACUCCUUCGAGGGUUCGAAUCCCUCCCUCUCCG